GGGCCAGUAGCUCAGUGGUCAGAGCAGGCGACUCAUAAUCGCUCGGUCGCAGGUUCGAUCCCUGCCUGGCCCA
rnacentral:tRNA from 2 species